rnacentral:tmRNA from 1 species
GGGGGCGUCCCGGUUUCGACGGAGAUGCUGACCCUCAUAGUGCAUGCCGGGUUGGCUUCCCCGUAAUAAGGCCAACGGCAAUUAACUGCCAACGACGACGUAGAACUAGCUUACGCUGCGUAAGUUACCCCGCUCUUGAGGUGCCCAUCCAUUGGGAAUCCGGGGUCAUUUAGAUGGGAUCGUUCCGGUUGCCGGAGGCUCGUGGCGAAGGAAUUAAACCUUAACGAACCGACCUGAUGGAUGCCUUGUCCGUUCAGUUUUCGUCAGGUGCUGUUUGAAUGGACUAAGCAUGUAGAUCUGUGAGUUGAUGAUUUUCGGACGCGGGUUCGACUCCCGCCGCCUCCACCA